rnacentral:tRNA from 1 species
CGGGGUGUAGCGCAGUCCGGCAGCGCACAUGCUUUGGGAGCAUGAGGUCGUGGGUUCGAAUCCCACCGCCCCGACCA